rnacentral:rRNA from 1 species
CCUACGGGAGGCAGCAGUAGGGAAUAUUGCUCAAUGGGGGCAACUCUGAAGCAGCAACGCCGCGUGGAGGAUGACGGUUUUCGGAUUGUAAACUCCUUUUGUUAGAGAAGAUAAUGACGGUAUCUAACGAAUAAGCACCGGCUAACUCCGUGCCAGCAGCCGCGGUAAUACGGCGGGUGCAAGCGUUACUCGGAAUCACUGGGCGUAAAGCGCGCGUAGGCGGGAUAGCAAGUCAGAUGUGAAAUCCUAUGGCUUAACCAUAGAACUGCAUUUGAAACUGUUAUUCUAGAGUAUGGGAGAGGUAGGUGGAAUUCUUGGUGUAGGGGUAAAAUGCGUAGAGAUCAAGAGGAAUACUCAUUGUGAAGGCGACCUGCUAGAACAUAACUGACGCUGAUGCGCGAAGGCGUGGGGAGCAAACAGGAUUAGAUACCCCUGUAGUC